GGUGGAGGUUGUUGUUGCCUUUUUUUCUUUUUAAUGAAUGGAGGGCGGUGGCGACUGCUGCAGCUGGCUCAGCUGCGCGGGCUGUGCCCCCUCCCAGCCUGCGAGAGGAGGAAGCUAGUUGAGGACCUGCAUCACCAAAAUCAAGGAGUAAAUCGAGAGCAAACAACAUGGGAAUAACUGCAUGAAGCUCAGCCUGCUGCUCAGCAGAGUUUAGGAAGCCAUAUACUGAACCCUUUUCCACAGCCUGGGGAAGUUGAGUCUGG